AAUAGUGAAAGAAACCUCUUCUUUGAAGCAUCCUGUGUGAAAAAUUACUGCUAGUGUCCAGACAGUGGUCCUGAAAUAACAUAUUUCACUAAAAAGCAAAUAUGAUAACAGAGAUCUCCAUAGAAACAAAUUUAUUCCUUGUUUGAGGCAGAGCAUGGACAAGAUGGACCAUUUUGAUAACCAAUUAGCACAGGAGUAAAAUAGCUAGUAAGGAUCUUAUUAAGAAGACUCAGGAGACAAUUUGAAGCAGUAUUCACUGGCAAAAGAUGGAAAAUUUGUAUCCAAGAAGACACUGAAUGAAGCACAGCCAAAUACAUCAACCAUACUAAAUCCAUAAGUUCAUAACAGUAUUUAAGACAUAAGUUUUCAAAUAUGAUGUGUUGUCAGGAAGCAAAGGAACAGUACCAAGCAUUUAUCUUGCCUUUAUUAAUGAACUAAACCCUAAAAUAACCACAGGUCUACAAGAAACCAGCUGUGGUUUUUUGAGGCUGAAGAAUGAGAUUGUGGAGUGAUGGGAUGAGGAUAACUACAAAGAAAACUUUAGGCUCUUCACACUUGGCUCCUCACUCUUCUUUCUCCUGCUACCAUGUAAAGAAGGUCUUGAUUCCCCUCCAACUUCCGCCAUGAUUAUAGGUUUCCUGACGCCUCCCCAGCCAUCCUAAACUAGGAACAUGUGAAGAUUUGUUAUAUAGAUAAAU